UACAGAGGUCCCAAGCGUUGUUCGGGUUCACUGGGCGUAAAGCGCUUGUAGGCGGUCCACCAAGUUUGGGGUGACAGUUGCCGACUUAAUCGGCAAAGUGCCUCAAAGACUGGCGGACUUGAGGGCCACAGAGGGACAUGGAACUCCAGGUGUAGUGGUGAAAUGCGUAGAUAUCUGGAAGAACACCAAAGGCGAAGGCAGUGUCCUGGGUGGUCGCUGACGCUGAGAGGCGAAAGCCAGGGGAGCGAACGGG
rnacentral:rRNA from 1 species